GGCUGAGAGCUGGUGUAGUGUUUUGAGUGCUGGACUUUGACUCUCUAGAGAUCAGGGUUCGAUUCCCUGCUUGGCCU